GCGCUGGUAGCUCAGUUGGUUAGAGCGCACGACUGAUAAUCGUGAGGUCGGAGGUUCAAAUCCUCCUCGGCGCACCA
rnacentral:tRNA from 1 species